UAUAUGGAGAGUUUGAUCCUGGCUCAGGACGAACGCUGGCGGCGUGCCUAAUACAUGCAAGUCGAGCGGACAGAUGGGAGCUUGCUCCCUGAAGUCAGCGGCGGACGGGUGAGUAACACGUGGGCAACCUGCCUGUAAGACUGGGAUAACUCCGGGAAACCGGGGCUAAUACCGGAUAAUUCUUUCCCUCACAUGAGGGAAAGCUGAAAGAUGGUUUCGGCUAUCACUUACAGAUGGGCCCGCGGCGCAUUAGCUAGUUGGUGAGGUAACGGCUCACCAAGGCAACGAUGCGUAGCCGA
rfam:Bacillus sp. 2_A_57_CT2 genomic scaffold supercont1.2, whole genome shotgun sequence.